GACGUAGGAGGCGAGCGUUAUCCGGAUUCACUGGGCGUAAAGCGCAUGUAGGCGGUUGCACAAGUCCGUUGUUAAAGCCCCUGGCUCAACUGGGGGGAGGUCAAUGGAGACUGUGCGACUUGAGGGCAAUAGAGGCACGUGGAACUCCCGGUGUAGCGGUGGAAUGCGUAGAGAUCGGGAAGAACACCAGUGGCGAAGGCGACGUGCUGGGUUGCACCUGACGCUGAGAUGCGAAAGUGUGGGGAGCAAACGGG
rnacentral:rRNA from 1 species